rnacentral:rRNA from 1 species
UGGGGAAUAUUGGACAAUGGGCGCAAGCCUGAUCCAGCCAUGCCGCGUGUGUGAAGAAGGCCUUAGGGUUGUAAAGCACUUUCAGUGGGGAGAAAGGUUUGUCACCUAAUACGUGAUGAAAUUGAUGUUACCCACAGAAGAAGCACCGGCUAACUCCGUGCCAGCAGCCGCGGUAAUACGGAGGGUGCAAGCGUUAAUCGGAAUUACUGGGCGUAAAGCGCACGUAGGUGGUUCGCUAAGUCAGCUGUGA